CGCGUAGGUGGUUUGUUAAGUUGGAUGUGAAAGCCCCGGGCUCAACCUGGGAACUGCAUCCAAAACUGGCAAGCUAGAGUACGGUAGAGGGUGGUGGAAUUUCCUGUGUAGCGGUGAAAUGCGUAGAUAUAGGAAGGAACACCAGUGGCGAAGGCGACCACCUGGACUGAUACUGACACUGAGGCUCGAAAGCCAGGGAAGCAACG
rnacentral:rRNA from 1 species